GGGCCGUUAGCUCAAUUGGCAGAGCAACUGACUCUUAAUCAGUAGGUCGCUGGUUCGACUCCAGCACGGCCCACCA
rnacentral:tRNA from 3 species